UACGUAGGGGGCAAGCGUUGUCCGGAAUUAUUGGGCGUAAAGAGCGUGUAGGCGGUCCGGUAAGUCAGCUGUGAAAGUCAAGGGCUCAACCCUUGAAUGCCGGUUGAUACUGUCGGGCUAGAGUCCGGAAGAGGCGAGUGGAAUUCCCGGUGUAGCGGUGAAAUGCGCAGAUAUCAGGAGGAACACCUAUGGCGAAGGCAGCUCGCUGGGACGGUAUUGACGCUGAGGUGCGAAAGCGUGGGGAGCAAACAGG
rnacentral:rRNA from 1 species